GAAACUGAUCUCCCCGUGAAGAAGCGGGGAUAAGUAUAUUANACGAGAAGACCCCAUGGAGCUUUAAACCCGACAGCACCCACUUAUUUAACACCUUCUUAUCCGCCUGGCCCCUGUCUGCUCGGUUUUGGGUUGGGGUGACCGCGGAGCAUAAAAUAGCCUCCACGAAAGAAGGGAUGAUUCCCUCAUUUUAGAACUACACUUCCAAAGACUAACAAAUUAAUUUUAAGUGAUCCGAUACCCGUAUUCGAUCAACGAACCAAGUUACCCUGGGGAUAACAGCGCAAUCUACCUCAAGAGCCCCUAUCGACAGGUGGGUUUACGACCUCGAUGUUGGAUCAGGGUAUCCCAGUGGUGCAGCAGCUACCAAAGGUUCGUUUGUUCAACGAUUAAAACCCU
rnacentral:rRNA from 1 species